CCAAAGAAGAUAGAAGCCCACCCAAACAUCACAUCUCAAAAAAGAUAUUCGGCCCCUUUUUCCCUCUGGUAUCUCAUGGUAAAAAUUAGAGAGUAGUUGGCACACAAAAAUAUGAGCAUUUUAUAGUUGUCGCACAAAUGGGAUUAGAUAGGAUAAGAGCUGGAGUUUGUUGCAAUUCAAAUUAUUUUAAAUUUUAAUUUAACUCUAAUUUUUUUUACCCUUAUCUAACUUAAAGAGGGACCUAUUAGAGAAUUUUGGUUAUGGAAAACAAUCAAGAAUACUUCCUUUUGGUUGUAGAUAAUAGGCACAUUCAUAAAGAGCCAACGUGUGGAAGGAUAGGGAUAAGAUUUUAGGUUUAAAUUCAAACCUUUUGAAUUUAAUUUAAAAUCAACCAAAUCCUAUC
rnacentral:lncRNA from 1 species